UGUUCCUUUGUAGGUAAUAUGUCUCUUCCUUCUGGCUGCUUUAUAAAUUUUCUUUGCCACUUGUUUCCUGAAAUUCGAUUGUGUUGUGCUAUUGUGUGUGUUUUCAGUAUGUUUAUUCUGCUAGUAUUAGUUGAGAUUCUUGUAUCCUUUUUUCCCUACUAAAUUUGGGGAGUUAUAUACUAUUACUUGUUGAAAUGUUUUUCUUUUCCAGUUUAUUGCUCUUUUUCUUCUGGAAUAUAUCAUAUGUAUAUUACACUACUUGAUAUUGUCUGCAUGUUAUCGAGGUUUGAUUUUUUUUUAAGUCUUUUUUCUCUCUAUGCUACAUUUUGGAUAAUGUAUAUUGCUUUAUCUUCAAAUUCACUGUCUCUUAUGACCAGUUUGAGUCUCCUUGUGAUAUGGCAGCUGGCUUCCUCCAGAGCUAGUGAUCUGAGAGAGAGCAAAGAGGCAGCUGCAAUGCCAUUUAUGAUUUCCUCUCAGAGUGGCUCAAGAUGACGAAAGGGAAGAAGGCCAAGGGGAAGAAGGUGGCCCCGGCCCCCGCCGUGGUGAAGAAACAGGAGGCGAAGAAGGUAGUGAAUCCUCUGUUCGAGAAAAGGCCGAAGAACUUCGGCAUUGGGCAGGACAUCCAGCCCAAGAGGGACCGCAUCGCUUUGCCAAAUGGCCCCGCUACAUCUGGUCGCAGCGGCAAAGAGCCAUCCUCUACAAGCGGCUGAAAGUGCCUCCCGCCAUUAAUCAGUUCACCCAGGCCUUGGACCGCCAAACAGCUACUCGGCUGCUUAAGCUGGCCCACAAGUACAGACCAGAGACAAAGCAAGAGAAGCAGCAGCGACUGUUGGCCUGGGCUGAGAAGAAAGCUGCAGGCAAAGGAGAUGUCUCCACUAAGAAACCACCUGUCCUUAGAGCAGGAGUUAACACUGUCACCAGUUGGUGGAGAACAGGAAGGCUCAGCUGGUGGUGAUUGCACAUGAUGUGGAUCCCACUGAGUUGGUUGUCUUCCUGCCUGCCCUAUGUCGGAAGAUGGGGGUCCCUUACUUCAUUAUCAAGGGGAAGGCCAGGCUGGGGCGUCUGGUCCAUAGGAAGACCUGCACCACUGUGGCCUUCACGCAGGUUAACUCAGAAGACAAAGGCGCUCUAGCUAAGCUGGUGGAAGCCAUCAGGACCAAUUACAACGACAGAUACGAUGAGAUCCGCCGUCACUGGGGAGGCAACGUCCUGGGUCCGAAGUCAGUGGCUCGCAUUGCCAAGCUGGAAAAGGCAAAGGCUAAAGAACUUGCCACUAAACUGGGCUAAACAUACACUGUUGAGUUUUCUGUACAUAAAAAUAAU